UUGAACGCUGGCGGCAUGCUUUACACAUGCAAGUCGAACGGCAGCACGGGGGCAACCCUGGUGGCGAGUGGCGAACGGGUGAGUAAUAUAUCGGAACAUGUCCGGAAGUGGGGGAUAACGUAGCGAAAGUUACGCUAAUACCGCAUAUGCCCUGAGGGGGAAAGGGGGGGAUCGCAAGACCUCUCGCUUUCGGAGUGGCCGAUAUCGGAUUAGCUAGUUGGUGGGGUAAGGGCUCACCAAGGCGACGAUCCGUAGCUGGUCUGAGAGGACGACCAGCCACACUGGGACUGAGACACGGCCCAGACUCCUACGGGAGGCAGCAGUGGGGAAUUUUGGACAAUGGGCGCAAGCCUGAUCCAGCCAUGCCGCGUGAGUGAAGAAGGCCUUCGGGUUGUAAAGCUCUUUCGGCAGGAACGAAACGGCGGAAUCUAAUACAUUCCACUAAUGACGGUACCUGAAGAAGAAGCACCGGCUAACUACGU
rnacentral:rRNA from 1 species